AACGAACGCUGGCGGCAUGCCUAACACAUGCAAGUCGAACGAAGCCUUCGGGCUUAGUGGCGCACGGGUGCGUAACGCGUGGGAAUCUGCCCUUGGGUUCGGAAUAACAGUUAGAAAUGACUGCUAAUACCGGAUGAUGACUUCGGUCCAAAGAUUUAUCGCCCAAGGAUGAGCCCGCGUAGGAUUAGGUAGUUGGUGGGGUAAUGGCCUACCAAGCCGACGAUCCUUAGCUGGUCUGAGAGGAUGAUCAGCCACACUGGGACUGAGACACGGCCCAGACUCCUACGGGAGGCAGCAGUGGGGAAUAUUGGACAAUGGGCGAAAGCCUGAUCCAGCAAUGCCACGUGAGUGAUGAAGGCCUUAGGGUUGUAAAGCUCUUUUACCAGGGAUGAUAAUGACAGUACCUGGAGAAUAAGCUCCGGCUAACUCCGUGCCAGCCGCCGCUGUAAAAC
rnacentral:rRNA from 1 species